AGACAGACAGAUGACAGAGAGUGGAAGAAAGGGAACACAAGAGCAGACAGCUGAACUGUAGCCAUGGCUCCUCUGAAGUCAACAGACCAAGUCCUCAGCACCACCUCUCCAACCUCACAGGAGGUGUUGAUGCGCGGUGAGCGGCUUCCGUAGUGGCCUCGGGGACAGGUGGACAGACAGGUGCCCCUCUGCCUCAUCCCGUCCAACUCCAGGUGGAAGAAUAGGCGAGGUUUACAGGAGAGACAGCCAUUCAGGGCAGAGCACAAUGCGCAACCUGCCGGACACGGUCUCGUCACUGAGGAGCUCCCUGUCGUGAGAGAACCUUGGUGCCAUCUACACGUAUUGUUAGAAUGAUGAAGUGCGGAAUCCAAAUGAAUAAUGAUGUCCACAUUUUCCUUCACUUUGAAAUUGAUCCAGUCCACAAAGACACCUUGCAUGACAUCCCAAAUAUCAUUAUGCACGUUAAAAAAAAACAACUCUUCAUUGAGCUGGAUCCAUGCAGGAGACGUGUGUCGAGUGCACAAAUAUUUUUCCAAGGAAGAACCCCAUCUACAUUCCGUGCUGUCACUCAAGCCGACAGAAAGAAGCCAUGAAAGAAUGCAAACAUAAGAGAAGCCAUCAUAUGACAGUCGCAACCUAGAGCUAAUGUAAAGUUUGGUUUAGCUGCUGUGUCUGUAUCACACACACACACACACACACACACCUCCUUUUCCUCUGCUCGACCCUCCUCCUGAGACGAGAUCAUAUCUAAAAUGUCUCACACAGAAUGGGACUGGGAGAUACUGUUCUGCUUUGUUGUGUGCACAAAAAUAGGACGUUCUGAAAAUCAUACAAUCUUAAAAUAUCAGUUACUUCUUAUAAUUCUACAUCAUUUCAUUAAGUUUGUGUGUUUUUUGCUCAAUGUUGCUUCACAUGGAUGUUUGACCUUCACUGUGCAGAAUUGAACAGGAUAAAGAAGUUCUCAGAGUUUAACAUUGAAGCAGGACUUUCCGACACACAACUGGAAGCCACUGUUGUAUUUGAAACCCACACAAAUAUUGAGCGGAAACUAGAAUCCACAGUGAGAGUGGGUGUUUCACGUUACUGUCAUCAAGUAGCUGUGUGGCAGCUUUCUUUUCCCCCAUUCAUUUUUUACAACAAAAUGAAAUAUAUGUUCUAUUUUGAACAAUAAAAAGAUACUUGUAUAAUUACUAGAGAAAAACUGCAACAAUAUGUCAUGUAAACAAGUAGUUCAGGUGUAUAUGAAAUGCACAAAACGCUACUUCAGUCACUUCUAUUUUUAAAUAAGUGGCUCAUGGCACAUAAGGUUAGUGUGCAAUGGUGAAAAAAAAUAACCCUGAUUUGAUUCCAUGUAAUUUAAAAGGCAUGGCUAUGUUUUUUGACACAAAUCAUGACAAGGGUCUUGUCACGCAGGCCAGAUGAAGUCACAAUGUUUGAACUACGGAAAGGACACGAAUCCACGCACGGCCAAAAACCUACACUUCCCAGACGUUUCGACUCAAGCCACAAAUGGCCAGUGCAUGUGUUAAAAUUAAGUCGUGGGUUUAGAAAACAACCAAAAAAAGCACAAAGUGAUUUGACUACAGAAUGAUAAGAAAACAAAACUGGAGAGUUGGAGGUGUCAGAAAGGACUGGUGAUUCCCACAAAGCCUCUGGAAUGUGAUGAAAGUUUCAGUCCUGUGGGAGAUUUGUUGUUUGACAUCUUGUUGUAUAUUAUCGUCUGUUUUGGGAACUCUGUGGUUCUUUCAGUACUUCUCCAAAACAGAUUUGAACUGCUCCUUCAUGCAUCGUUUUCUUGGAAUCAGUAUCCACUGCUGUUCGGAACAAAUCGGAGAUUUGGGCCAUCGACCUCCCAUAGCCUGACAUUUGUUAACAGGCAAUAAUUGGUGAUAUACUGCAUGGUGAUUUGUAAAAAUGUUAGAAAUGUUGUCGUAUUGUUCUUAAGUUGGCGUGAUGCCAUUUCUGUGGCGGGAAAUAAACAGAAACAGCAACGUAUUUAUGAAACCUGUGAAACCAUGUGCUCCUUAUUAAGAAAGGAACAUCUCUGCCAGAAUGGACUGUCAUGCUCUCUUACAUCUUGGCUUGUCUGGGAAAAUGUCAAAAGAGGAAUUAGCAGGAGCGAUGCGGUGGGAUUCUUUACACUUCUUUGAUUUACUGUAUGCGAGAGAGGAGCUGGACAGGGCGAUAUGCUGGCAGCCUUAAAUUGUCAACAGGUGCUCAGGCACAUGCACAUGCACACACACACACACAAACUAAACAGGCGAGGAACAUUGUGGCUGGGCUACCUCUUUGUUUUGAUAACGGGUGAAGAGUGUGUUUUUUUUGUAUUCCUUCAAGAACAGCAGCAAACCUGGAGAAGAUGAUACAAAAACACCUCAGAGGAGUCUCUGUGUGUGCAGCCAGCCAACAACAUCAUCCUUCUGCCUGCAUGAAGUGGUU